rnacentral:ncRNA from 1 species
UGAUAGAGGCGCGGUCUUCAUCAGUAGCGUGAUCCGCUGCAGCAGACGCAGCACGUGAAAGGGGAGUCCGCCGAAGUAUCACAGAACGUCUGGCUGCCUGUGAUGCUGGGCUGACGGGAAAGACCCGGCAGACUGUCAUUAUGCCCGCCCCCGGGGCCGGACAUGUGGAGCGCUAUUCA